AGUGGCAGAGUGGCCUUGCUGCCACGAUCC
rnacentral:snRNA from 1 species